rnacentral:siRNA from 1 species
GUUUGCUUGUCGCUGGUUCAG